UGCCUACGGGGGGCAGCAGUGGGGAAUAUUGCACAAUGGGGGAAACCCUGAUGCAGCAACGCCGCGUGAGUGAAGAAGGUUUUCGGAUUGUAAAGCUCUGUUAGCAGGGAAGAGGAAGGACGGUACCUGCAGAGGAAGCCACGGCUAACUACGUGCCAGCAGCCGCGGUAAUACGUAGGUGGCAAGCGUUGUUCGGAAUAACUGGGCGUAAAGGGCGUGUAGCCGGGCUGACAAGUCAGAUGUGAAAUCCGGGGGCUCAACCCCCGAUCUGCAUUUGAAACUGUUGGUCUUGAGUAUCGGAUAGG
rnacentral:rRNA from 1 species